rnacentral:rRNA from 1 species
UACGUAGGUGGCAAGCGUUGUCCGGAAUUAUUGGGCGUAAAGCGCGCGCAGGCGGUCCUUUAAGUCUGAUGUGAAAGCCCACGGCUCAACCGUGGAGGGUCAUUGGAAACUGGGGGACUUGAGUGCAGGAGAGAAGAGUGGAAUUCCACGUGUAGCGGUGAAAUGCGUAGAGAUGUGGAGGAACACCAGUGGCGAAGGCGACUCUUUGGCCUGUAACUGACGCUGAGGCGCGAAAGCCAGGGGAGCAAACGGG